UGAGGAAUAUUGGGCAAUGGGCGAAAGCCUGACCCAGCAACGCCGCGUGAAGGAAGACGGUUUUCGGAUUGUAAACUUCUUUUAAGAGGGACGAUAAUGACGGUACCUCUUGAAUAAGCCACGGCUAACUACGUGCCAGCAGCCGCGGUAAUACGUAGGUGGCAAGCGUUGUCCGGAUUUAUUGGGUGUAAAGGGCGAGUAGGCGGACCUGCAAGUCAGAUGUGAAAUCCCCGGGCUUAACCCGGGAACUGCAUUUGAAACUGCAGGCCUUGAGUGAUGGAGAGGCAGGCGGAAUUCCCGGUGUAGCGGUGGAAUGCGUAGAUAUCGGGAGGAACACCAGUGGCGAAGGCGGCCUGCUGGACAUUAACUGACGCUGAGGAGCGAAAGCGUGGGGAGCAAACAGG
rnacentral:rRNA from 1 species